CGUGGUGCGCAUUCAAAACGAAAAAGCUCCCACAUUAGAAAAAUGACAAUUAAAGAGUCAGUUUUUUAAAUUUUCUUUAAUAAAAAAAAUAAAAAAAAAAGUUCAAUAAUUCAUGAUUCCUAU
rnacentral:ribozyme from 11 species